GAAAGCAUUAGGGGAGCCCACGGCUACAAAAACAAGUGAGUGAGAAGAGGUGGGAGGAAGAGAAACUACGCCACCUCCCCUGCAGCCGAGUGCACGCAGCAGCCUGGCGUGACAAGUGGGCGACGCCGGGGGGCAGGGAGCCGGGGUCCUUGGCCCUGGCCGGGGACCCCACCGCCCACCGCGCGGAGGACAACUUUUAGCCGGCAGCCCAGACCAGCGCGGCACCUGUCUCCGGAGUCUCCACCGCUCCUCCCGAUUCAUCCCAGGGAAAUUCUCAAGAAUACGCUCUACAAAUCUACGUGCGCAUCAUUUUCACCUCGCGUCGCGCCCGGGAGGAAGGAACGAGGCAAGGAGCUAAAGCAGCGUGCGUUCAGCCCUGGGGCAUUUUAUUAAUGCUUUUACGAGUUAGAAGAGUUGGGAUAAUUUGCCAUCUGGAGUUUCUCUGCCUUGCUGAUCUGAGCUCAGACCUGCCAAUUUACCAGAGAUAAUUGAUAACACCCUGUAACAGCUGAAGACAGAGUCUUACCCUGUCACCCAGGCUGGAGUACAAUGGUGCGAUCUCGGCUCACUGCAACCUCUGCCUCCUGGGUUCAAGUGAUUCUUCUGCCUCAGCCUCCUGAGUAGCUGGGACUACAGGAGGAAAAUGGAAGAAACGGAGAUACUUUUAGUGAAGCAGAAUAAACCACUGAACAGGAAAAAUGAGGAAGCUGUGAGUACCAGUGGAAGGAACGAGCCAGGAAGAGGGACUGGAACCAUCUCAGAAGCCAUGCCCCUCAGGCUGGAACUUGCCCUGUCUCCUCGCAGAUGAGUCUCUUCUUUCCGCCAGCUACCUCUUGUGUUUAAGAAUUAAAGGAAGAUGAGCUAGGAAUCAAGAAAUACGCAGAACUGAUUCCUGUCACUGGCGCCACCCUGCCACUUGCCCAGAGCUGUGGUAUAAAUUUUUUUAAUAGGCUGAAAUAAAAAUAUGAAUAGCAUUUUGGUAUUAAGCAUUAAAUUGAUAAAGGCUAUGAGAUACACCUGCUCUCAACCAUGUUAAUUUUUUAUUAUUGGUAUUAAUAAAUUAUUACUUACUAACAUAUUAACAAGAAUUGCAUUGAGAAACAAAGCAUCCACAGGCCAAAUCUUCUGAAUUUCAAAUGUUUAUAUUAAUGCGUUGUAUUCUAGAAAAGUAGAAUUGUCUUAAGUAGCUUUGUAAUAUAAAGUCAUCUAUCAGCCCAUUACACCUAUUAGAAUGUUUUAACCUUUAUUUCCCACUUUUUUGUUUCUAGACUGAGUGUACUUGGUCUGGUAUUUGUGGCAUAACUUACGGAACACAUAAGAAUGAUACAGAUACUAUUUAAUGAUGACCUAAUACAAGCUUAGAUAGCUAAGGUGAAAGCUUCUAUGGCCUUAACAUUUUCCUCUUGAAGAAUGUAUUUUCUGUAAUAAAAUACAGUGGCUACUUGAAAUCUAUAAACUUAUGUGAGGUCUGGAUAAAUCUGAGCAACUUUCUUCUUUGUGCUCCAGGAACCUACGCACUAUAUAUAUAAAUAAAGCUUAAGUAAACAUCA
ensembl:lncRNA LINC-PINT long intergenic non-protein coding RNA, p53 induced transcript